UUAACUAAUUAAUAUAUCAUUCAAUUUUGUGGAUCUAGUCUCAAUAGCCUAUUAUCUACCAAUAAUAACUGGUAAUUAAUGUUUCGG